CGACCCAAUUCCUUUUCCCCCCAAAGUAAACCCAGCAACGCUGCUUCAACAUUCCAUCUCAGUAACUCACGGCGUGAAAACAAAGGGACGGAAGGGCAGCAACGACAACACGCGUGAGCAACCACAAGACCUCCACAUCCCUGGACGCGCCUCGUCACUGUCAAGCGGUGUCAAUUUCGACGGCGAUAGACGGAAAAGCAACGAGGGACAGAAGCCUAUGCGCUGGAGUUUGUCGUCUUCCUUCGCGUCCCUCUCACGUUGUACGAUUACGACAAUAAUGGCAGCACGCGGAUCGUCCUAGCAGCUCAAGAUCGAUCCACGUAGCUCGUGAGGACGAGAGGUUCAUCCCUAUCGUCCAUCCCCUUGCCAUUUCUGGGGAUGGUUUCAGACGCUAGGGGAAAAGAUGUUUUGAUGUUUUGGUGAAAGAUUUUCAAAAAAUUUGAAUUUUCGGAAUGGAAAUUUGACUCUUUUCCCCAUUUCCGAAACCCUAAUUUUCCACCCUAUAUAUGUAUUCUCCUGCUCAUUGUAAAAGAGGAAAAAAAUCUCUUUAGCUUUAAAAAUAUCACAAAAAAGCAGAGAGAUUUUGAGUAGGUCUUUGUUAGCAAGAACUUACGAAUAAAGGAAUUACUAAGUUAUAGUAUUCAUAUAAGAAACAUGCAAUAAAUACAUUUUUUUUGGUUGCGGGCUGCCAUAAUUUGUUGGAUUUCUGAAGUUUAAGGUAGAUGUUGAAGUCGCUCUAAGCUCAUUCCCGUCUCCGGUUCGCUGUUCGAAGAAGGUACCACGUUUUUCUCGAUAACAUACUUUUCUUUUCUUCUCUGUUAAUCUGUGAAAUAGCACUGUUGUUACUGGAAAUUUGUUGCUGGUUGUUUAUAUGUUUAAUGUUAAUUCGAUGGGGAUAUUAGUUUGACUUGCAUGUUCCUGUUGAUUCAUUUAAGUAGAUGUGGUACCCGGUUAGAGUUGGAGAAGGCUCUGUGUUAUUAUCUAAAGACGAUAUUUCGUUGUUCUUCCUUCUUAUAGUCGAAUCUACAUUGGUGUUCACGUCUUAUCGUUUAUUCUUUCACCUCAAGUUGAAAGAAUGGAUUAAGAUGUCCAAAUUUGAAGUUUAUUUGUGAGGUUGGUGAUUGUUCGAAGUUCAUGCGUUGCGUUUUUUGACUCGUCUAAUGAUUUUGUUGUUCCAAGAAGAUAUCAAAUCCGGUUUCUAGCGAAAGUAUGUCAUCGAUAUAGGAUGGGUUAUGGUUGAGUCUUAUCACGAAAAGUUUACGGCAUUUGAAAGCCAAUUUUACAUCAUUUUGGUCUUGAAUACAUAUUCAUUUGUUCGAACAUUUAUGUUAAAUCUUAUGGUUUACUUUUGUUGCCUUAGUCUGCUUUCUUCCUUGCCUGGAGUUUGGAGGAAAAUGCUAUAAAUAAAUAAUAAUAAUAAAAGGGGACAGUGGCAUGCUUGUGUUUAUAUAUUCACUGCCAUAUUCAUGCGCUUAAUUAAUGGCGUUGAUAUCUUUUCUUGAACAUGUAUGUGUGGCAACUUCUUUAUUUCUUUUCGAAGCUCUAUAGUCGUGUCUCGGUUAGCUUUGAAGUUGGUCUUUUCGUGGUUGUUAUUCAAGCUCUUGAUUUUGGGAUGAAGUUUUCUCGCCGGGUGCUCUUUUCUUUAUUUGUAUGCGAAUAGCAUAUCCAAUUUGAGCAUGUUUUUUGUUUUCAAAGUUGGUCUCCUUCAAUCUUCUUGUUCCAUAUGAUAUGAAGGAGUUUUGAUUAUUUAUUCUUAACCAGUAGCAUUAUUUAGGUGUUUUAUUUGUUAUUGGAGACUAUGUAUUUUGUGGAUUUUUUAAAUGCUAAAGCAGUAGCUUAAAUAUUCAUUAUUGUGUCAUUGGCAUGACUUAGGCUUUAACAUUUCGGAGUUUAUAUGGUUGCAUGAUUUAGCUUAAUCGAAUUAUUUCCCGUAUAUUAGUUUGGGAGCUGCUUUGAUCUGUGUUUUAGUUUUAGAAGUAUCUUUGCUUUGUUAUUUUCGGGAUGCUAAUUCCUUAUCCCUUUCGUUUUGCCAUAUGUGACAUCAAUUCGAGCCGACUUUGGACUCCAUCCUUACAUUCCUCCGAGUUGAACUUUUUUUGGGUCAUCCUCAUUUUGUUCAAGUGAAAGGGGAGAAAUUACAGGGGCAAGAACUGAUUUACAUGUCUUGGAAUAGUCCAAAACGGACUAUAUGCAUGUGAAUAUACACUGUGAUACAUUGAUAUACAGACGUAUACGUGAUAUACAAGUCAAAAAGCAGCGUAUACACGGUUAAAAACGAAAUUGCAGGUGUUCGGGAGAUGAAAUAUACUAUAUGCACUUAAUUUAUGUAUUGAUAUGCAGAAAAACAAGCCAAUAUACGGUCUAUAUACAUGUAUACACUCAGUACGGCGUGCAGAUUUUCAGAUGGAGAAAUGGGCUUAAAGCCCAACAUUUUACAUUGCAGGCUUAGCAGAAACUUUUGGGCCCAUCAGGCCAUUGUGGACAGAUUUUUAGAGUUGGUACAGGAUGAAUCUGACACACGAGCCUUUGAAAACAAGAAUGGUUACCGUUCCCGAUCCCUUCCUCAAAGUAUGGUGGAGGUUCAUGAACAACGACGACAAAAUGAUCGUUCAGAAACACAUAGGUUACCUCCCGUCACUGCUAGAGAUGAAUGAUUGGCCUGGCCUAAUUGGAACAAUGGUGAAAUUCUGAGAUAGCGAGAAUAUGGUCUUUUGAUUUGGGGAAGUGGAGUUAACGCCAACAAUAGAAGAAUUCCUCACGAGCUACGAAAGCGUCUCCAUGUGCAACAAAAGGAAACGACAUCCAGAUACAGAUAUCCUAAAUCCUAUAAUAUGGGAUUUCGCUAAAAUUAAAGAAAAACUGUCAUUGGUUAAAACCGAUUGGAUGGACAAGCUCCCCGACCCAAAUAUACCUUUCAGAAAACUAUAUUAUCGGUGCGGACGUGCAAGGACUUAUGAGAAAUAUAAAGACGAGUUCGUUUCAAAAGAAAAAUGGAAAGAGACGCGUCCCCUCGCAUUAGCAAUAUUUUUACUCAGAACGAUGGUUUUCCCUCAAGGGCCAAAUACACUAUUCAUCCUAGUGUGUUUAUGGUCACUCAUGUCAUCUUCUACGGAGUAGACUAUAAAUCAUCAACAAAGUACUACACAUUAGCGCCUAUGAUUUUGGCCGACAUCUAUAGGGCUUUAGACAAAUGUCAGAGCGGAGAACACUUCUUUCAAGGGUGUAAUCUGAUACUACAGUGGUGGAUGAUGCAACAUUUGAUCAAGACUCAUAAUCCAAAAGAAUCAGAUCCGCUAAAGCGGUCAGACGAGCUACAUGGACAUGAUUGGUGGUUGUACCACAAUCGUUGCAAUAAGACUGGAGGAGAAAGUUUUUGGUAUCCGAGGCUUCGAGGGCUGAGAGAAGAAGACGUACAGUGGUCAAUAGACAAUUUGGUGGUAACUAAGAAUAUGGUGGUUCGAACAGAAAGUCCCUUACUUGGUACUCGCUGGGUUAAGAGGGAUUAGACCCCAUAUGCUCCCGGUCGAGUCCUAAGGCAACUAGGAGGAAAACAAUAGUUGCCCGAAUCGCAGAUAUGAGGAAAUUUGCAACUGACCACGAGAAUGGACGAGUUGCAUAUGCUGAAGACAUACGUAGGAUGUGGAGAUCUCGAAGAGUGUUGGGUGAACCUGUACCAAACAGGUUUUGUCCAAAAUGUUCUAGGGAGUACAAAGAAUGAUUGAAAAAGAGUCUCGUUGGAACUAUUGAGCCUGGCCCAAACGUCCCUCACAUUAUUACAGAUGUUGGAGCCAAACAUCAAGUCCGACUUCAAGAGAAGUUUGAUAGGAAUGAAUAAAGCAUCAACGUCGUCACUCAGAAGAUGCCAAAGUCAUAGCUCAAUUGAAACAAGAUCUACGAAGAGCCAGACAGUGCAUGACAGAGUUAGAUGAUAGAAUGGAACAACAGAUUCAGUCGAUAGAGGGGUUCAGACAUCAAGAAGGAGCUCGAUUUGGCGAGAGAUCAUCUCUGGGCGAACAUAUAUGCUAUGUGGGAAGAGGUCAACAUCGCCAAAAGGACCAGACUUGGCGAAGGAUCAGAUGAGGCUUGAAUUUUAUUUACCAUCCCCUGCGUGAGACUGCUUUAUUUGUACUUUGUUUUGUAAUUUAUUUUUAGAAUUAUUUCUUGGUUUAAUGUUAAUCAGACAUUUUGGAUGCUAUUAAUGAAGUAUUUUGGGGAUAAAAAA